CCCAGAGCAUCUGGGGGCCUGUGGUCAGCCCCAUCCCGCGGCCCUGUCCUCUCUGGGUCACCCCUCCCCUGUCCCAGCGUAGCUGGCCUGGGGCCUGAACUCGAGGGGGUGCUGCGAAUAAUCACAACAUCAGAACAACAGUGUAAGCAGAGGCUGGGCUGUGCGGGGGAACCUUGGUCCAAGGAAAGAAUGCUCUAUCAUGGAUCUCCCGUCACCCUGCCCUCCCCACUCCCAGGCUAAAUCCAGGAGAGCCUUCCUGGAUUUAAUUGAGGCACUGAGCUCAGCUGGGGGCAAUCUGCACGGCCUGGAUAAGUCAGGGAGGCCUCCUGAAGGGGGCAGGAUUGAAGCCGGACCCCGAAGGAGGGCAGGGCUCACCCUGGAGGAGCCCACCCCCUCUGUGCUCCCCGUCGGCCCUCGCAGCUGCAGCCGUCCCUGGAACGGUCUUUGCAAAACAUCCCUGUCUCAUGAUGGAGGCUUCCUCCGCUCGCCUGCCUUGGCAAGCCAUGAAGGAUGGAGCCUCAAUGCGAGGAAGUGCCCAGGCCUUUGUUCUGGCCCCCGGCCAUGGCGGGACCCACUGCCCAUUGUUUUCUGUGCCGUCGGUGACCUUGAGCCAGCUGGACGGGACUGGCUGGCUCCCGCGGGCCCGGCCACCUCCAGGUCCGCCAGCCGCCAUGAAGGACAGCCAGGCCCUGGGUGGCCUUGGACAGGGCCGGGGCGGGCCUCAGUAUCCCCAUCGGUGGCCUCAGGGUCUGGAACACCAGUUCUGGCCGUUUGGGGUGUCAGUGAGCAUUGUGGGGGCUGCUGGUCCUUGAAGAGCAGGAAUCGGCAUCAGAUGGGAGAGCAAACCGAGCGCCCCCAGCCGCCGGCAGGGAUGCCUGCUUGCUCUGCCUUUACUGUGUCCAGGUGACCUGGCUCUCCAGGACCUGCAGGUCUGAAGACCCAAAGGUCUGUCUGUCUGGUGUCCUCUCUGGGCUUUGGGGCUCCUCAUUACCCCCCUGCCCAGGGUGUCUGCUGUGAGAAAGGCCCUGGGAGGGAAGGUGCAGCAGUUACCAGCUCACACUGGGGGCUGGGCUGCUGGGAAAUUAACGAAGUUACAGGAGAAAAGAAACAAUAAACACAAAAACAACCUGCC
rnacentral:lncRNA from 1 species